rnacentral:rRNA from 1 species
CAUUACGGCCAUACCGCCCUGAACAUCUUGUCCGAUCUUGGAAGCUAAGCAGGGUCCGGCCUGGUUAGUACUUGGAUGGGAGACCACCUGGGAAUACAAGGUGCUGUAAGCU